AUUGAACGCUGGCGGCAUGCCUUACACAUGCAAGUCGAACGGCAGCACGGGUGCUUGCACCUGGUGGCGAGUGGCGAACGGGUGAGUAGUAUAUCGGAACGUACCUUAUUGUGGGGGAUAACGCAGCGAAGGCUGUGCUAAUACCGCAUAAUCCCUAAGGGGGAAAGCGGGGGACCGUAAGGCCUCGCGCAAUUAGAGCGGCCGAUACCUGAUUAGCUAGUUGGUGAGGUAAAGGCUCACCAAGGCAACGAUCAGUAGCUGGUCUGAGAGGACGAUCAGGCACACUGGGACUGAGACACGGCCCAGACUCCUACGGGAGGCAGCAGUGGGGAAUUUUGGACAAUGGGGGCAACCCUGAUCCAGCAAUGCCGCGUGAGUGAAGAAGGCCUUCGGGUUGUAAAGCUCUUUUGUCAGGGAAGAAACAGCAGCUCUAACACAGUUUGCGAAUGACGGUACCUGAAGAAUAAGCACCGGCUAACUACGUGCCAGCCGCCGCAGUAA
rnacentral:rRNA from 1 species